ACGCAGCUGAUGCGCAUGAGUCCUCUGUCUCUGUUCGUGUUAGGCGGUCUGUCACGCCCGCUGCGUUUGAUGUUCAUUGAGACCAUGAGGUAUCGUCGAGCUCUAGACGUUAAAUUAAGCACUUGUUGGGAGGUAACCCAACUGUUUUUCUUUGUUUUGUUUUUCUUUCUUUUAGUUUCGUUUUGUUUCUUUUGUUUCUUUGUUUUCUUUGUUUUCUUUGUUUUGGGGUUUUUAGUGCAGUGUUGAGUUUGGAAGAUGCGGAAACUCGCGCCUUGUUCAUACCACCACCAUGGAGCAUGUGUUUCUGUGAGUAGUGACACACAUAUCAUCAUCCCUCCAAACUUAUUUUCGAACUUAUGUUCUGUAAUAAGUUUGGGGGAGGGGGGUGAGAGUAGAUAUGUGUAUCACUUUUAUCUUUUUGUUAGCUUUAUUGUUUUAUCCUGCUUGGUUGGUGGUAUGUGAUUGUUUUAUUUUUGAGAUGAUUAUUGCUCCAUUAGAUUUCUGGUGAGAUGCCAAUGAUGAUUUCUGUGAAAAAAAU
rnacentral:lncRNA from 1 species